rnacentral:rRNA from 1 species
AUUGAACGCUGGCGGCAGGCCUAACACAUGCAAGUCGAACGAGAGGCGGACGGGUGAGUAGGGUAUGGAAAAGUGGGCGAUGGAGGGGUAUAACUAGUGGAAAAGGUGGAUAAUACUGCAAACCACCGGUUGGGCCGAGAUGGGAUUAGCUAGUAGGUGGGGUAACGGCUCACCUAGGCGACGAGCCCUAGCAGGUCUGAGAGGAUGAACAGCCACACUGGAACUGAGACACGGUCCAGACUCCUACGGGAGGCAGCAGUGGGGAAUAUUCCACAAUGGGCGCAAGCCUGAUGCAGCCAUGCCGCGUGUAUGAAGAAGGCCUUCGGGUUGUAAAGUACUUUCAGCGGGGAGGCGUUACUCGCACAGGAAGCCCCGGCUAACUCCGUGCCAGCAGCCGCGGUAAUAC